rnacentral:rRNA from 1 species
CCUACGGGUGGCAGCAGUGAGGAAUAUUGGUCAAUGGACGAGAGUCUGAACCAGCCAAGUAGCGUGCAGGAUGACUGCCCUAUGAGUUGUAAACUUCUUUUAUAUGGGAAUAAAAUGUUCCACGUGUGGGAUUUUGUAUGUACCAUAUGAAUAAGGAUCGGCUAACUCCGUGCCAGCAGCCGCGGUAAUACGGAGGAUCCGAGCGUUAUCCGGAUUUAUUGGGUUUAAAGGGAGCGUAGGUGGAUUGUUAAGUCAGUUGUGAAAGUUUGCGGCUCAACCGGAAAAUUGCAGUUGAAACUGGCAGUCUUGAGGAAAGUAGAGGUGGGCGGAAGUCGUGGUGUAGCGGGGAAAUGCUUAGAUCUUACGAAGAAAUCCGAUUGAGAAGGCAGUUCACUGGACUGCAACUGACACUGAGGCUCGAAAGUGUGGGUAUCAAACAGGAUUAGAUACCCUAGUAGUC